UACGUAGGGGGCAAGCGUUGUCCGGAAUCAUUGGGCGUAAAGCGCGUGUAGGCGGCUCGAUAAGUCUGCUGUGAAAGUCCAGGGCUCAACCCUGGGAUGCCGGUGGAUACUGUCGAGCUCGAGUCCGGAAGAGGCGAGUGGAAUUCCUGGUGUAGCGGUGAAAUGCGCAGAUAUCAGGAGGAACACCAAUGGCGAAGGCAGCUCGCUGGGACGUAACUGACGCUGAGACGCGAAAGCGUGGGGAGCAAACAGG
rnacentral:rRNA from 1 species